UACGUAGGGGGCAAGCGUUGUCCGGAAUCAUUGGGCGUAAAGCGCGUGUAGGCGGUUCGAUAAGUCUGCUGUGAAAGUCCAGGGCUCAACCCUGGGAUGCCGGUGGAUACUGUCGAGUUAGAGUACGGAAGAGGCGAGUGGAAUUCCCGGUGUAGCGGUGAAAUGCGCAGAUAUCGGGAGGAACACCAAUUCGAAGGCAGCUCGCUGGGACGUCACUGACGCUAAGACGCGAAAGCGUGGGGAGCAAACAGG
rnacentral:rRNA from 1 species